ensembl:snoRNA SNORD33 Small nucleolar RNA Z195/SNORD33/SNORD32 family
AAGGCCAGUGAUGAGAUCGUCUCCUACUUGUGUUCAAGUUUCCUGACCAUGAGAAGAGUCCACAUUCACUGUUAUGUGAGGCUGC